rnacentral:tRNA from 1 species
GUCAGGAUGGCCGAGUGGUCUAAGGCGCCAGACUUAAGGACAUAUUCCUUGCUUCAAUAAGAGAAUAUGAGUAUUCCUGUCUUCAAUGAAGGCGUGGGUUAAAAUCCCACUCCUGACA